UAUCUUCACACUUGCUCUCAUUGUUUCUGACCACAUAACUCAUCCACAAGACUGGAAUAAAAACAGGACUUCCCCUCUCCUUGUUCUACUCUCCAAAACAUGCCAAAAGUAAUUCGUUUAGGCCUAUGGCAAUGUAAAAUGGGAUUCCGUACAUCUAGACAAUUAUGCAUUGAAACUUUCUUCCAAUGGGAAUGAAAUGAAAAAAACUCAAAAGGAAAGGCCAAGGAAACAGGCAAAACUGAGCUACAAUGGGGAGCCUUAAUUUAAAUUGGCAGCAAUGGAGGGAAGAGGUUAACUAGUGGAAGCAAGGGAAGCAUUGCGCAUGAAUUACCUACUUUGAUUGAUUGAGAUCCUUUUACAGCCCAGAAAUUGUCAAGGAAUGGAAGAUCUCUUUGAAGAGGGCUGUGUGAAGGAGGCUGUGCAGCAAUUUUAGAGAAGUGAAAACUUCUCCUUGUUUUAGGUGCAGUCUCGAACUUUGUAUUUAGCCAUAUUCUUUGUAUUGAGAGAGAGAGAACUUCUACUUGUAUGAGAGAAUAAUUUUGGGUGUAUUGGGAUUGGGUUUUGUAAGAAUGCUUCCACACCAUUUUGUAUUCUCUACAUUUAUUAGUGAAAUUUUUUCUUGUUGCAGCUUGUGGAUGUAGGCCAAAGGCCGAACCACGUAAA